AUGGCGACCGGCGCACGGGUGAGUAACACAUAUCCAACCUGCCGAUAACUCGGGGAUAGCCUUUCGAAAGAAAGAUUAAUACCCGAUGGCAUAAUAGAAUCGCAUGGUUUGAUUAUUAAAGAAUUUCGGUUAUCGAUGGGGAUGCGUUCCAUUAGGCAGUUGGUGGGGUAACGGCCCACCAAACCUUCGAUGGAUAGGGGUUCUGAGAGGAAGGUCCCCCACAUUGGAACUGAGACACGGUCCAA
rnacentral:rRNA from 1 species